CUGUCCUGCUGCUGUUUGAGAGGCAUGUGGAAGAUGAGAGAGCAGUUGAUAAAGCAGACGUAGCUGUGGAGCUGCUUCUGGUAGGCUUAGCGGAAGUAUUCUUCUCUGAUUGAGACACCGAAAACUGCAAACAAAAGAGUUGGUUACUUCAUAUUCUCAAAAAGAAGUCGAAGCUGUCAUUCCCUUCAAUAGUCCUCCGAUGGCUAAUCUUCAAAGAAGCUGUUGCCCACUCCUCUCUCCUACGGUAUGUUGAAUCCUAUGCAUCCACUUCCCUUACUUUUGAUUGACUGUCGCUUAGAAUGUGAUCGUUCAUUCUUCCAUUUCUGACACUUAGUACCGAGGGCACCGAAAUAAUGCAAAUUUAAGCUUUUCAGAUCUGAUAAUGUAAGGGAGGGAAGGGACGGGCAUUGAAUGGAUGAGAAGAAAUCUAUCAAAGUGCAUGUCUGCUACAAUUUCUCCAGCCAGCUGCUUUAUAUAGUGGAUGAUGAUUGUGAAGCUUUAGAGCAAAGCUGAAAUAAGAUCUGUUGAGCUAGGAUGCAAGGCAUAUGAACAAGUCAUAAGGGAGCAGAUGAAGCCUUCUUAAUGAGAUGGGGAUCAGAGAAUUAUUUUUCCCAUCUAAUAGUCAUAAAUUACUUGAGAAUUCAAGUUCAUAUUUAUUGUGUUCUUUUUCAGUGCAUUAUAUUUGAUAGGGUGGAAAAUGGGUGCCAAGAAGGGGCUACCCUCAUGUGCUCAUGAAUGUGGGUCAGAGGAAGCCAUUCAUCUCUCUGAAUGAACUGAAUUCUACAAGUUCUAAAAAGCAAGAAGACAAAGUGAAAUCAAAGGCAUAUGCGGGAGUCCUUGUCAAAUCAAUUCCUCAGGAAGGAACAGAGCAUGGACUUGUCACUCCACAUGGAAAUAACAGAGUCUUGAAGUUGAAGAUCCAACGCCAUGUGCUCAUGGGGCGGACAAGGUGAGUGGGCCAACCGAACGGACUAGGCAAGCCAGUCGAGUGGAGUGAACUAAAAAAGUUUAGUUUCAUUGAACGACAUUAAAAAUCCACAAACAUUGCAUCAAACUCCAAGAAGCUUAUAUUUUCUUUGUUUACUUAAUGUAAAAAUGAUCAUUUUAGUCA